UGGCUCAGAACGAACGCUGGCGGCAGGCUUAACACAUGCAAGUCGAACGGGCGUAGCAAUACGUCAGUGGCAGACGGGUGAGUAACGCGUGGGAACGUACCUUUUGGUUCGGAACAACCCAGGGAAACUUGGGCUAAUACCGGAUAAGCCCUUACGGGGAAAGAUUCAUCGCCGAAAGAUCGGCCCGCGUCGGAUUAGCUAGGUUGUGGGGUAAUGGCCUACCAAGGCGACGGUCAAAAGCUGGUCUGAGAGGAUGACCAGCCACACUGGGACU
rnacentral:rRNA from 1 species